CAACUUCUUUGUCAUAAUUAACAAUCAACAUGGCUCAUGCGGCCUCUCUCAGCAUCUGUAUUGUCCUCCUACUUUCAGCAAAACUGAUGUUGGUAGAACCAGCAACACAGAUUGCACAAAUUGAAGACACUAGUAAGAAGUCCAAUGAGAUCGUGAUGAAAAGUGUCAUUAAGCCAAGUCCAAGGCCACCCUACUUCCAGGGCGGUGGCGGGGGAAAGUGUAAGAGAGGGCAUUGCCCUCCACCACACCCUCAAACUAAAAAAAAAAUAUAAUAAAAUGAAUUAAUGGAACUAGUUGUGGUGCCAUCUACUCAGUUUCCAUUCGAGUAUGCAACUUAUAUUAUAUCAGAUGAAGCAAGCACCUCAUGGUAUC